AGUUGACGUUUCGAGUCCUCAUGACCCUUCGACAGAACUUGAGAACAGAACUUCUUCAAGGAGGUAGGCAUUUCUUGAAGAGCAGUGGCAGUCAAUUAAACACAGAGAUAAAAACAGCCGACUUCAGAGUGCGAGCAGGAAGUGCUACCGGAACAUGGAGUGAGCUGGGAAGCGAGGGGCCCCCUCUGUUGCAUCCUUAGCUAGGCACAGACCAAUUGGGAUUGUUACUACAUUCGGGGUGCAGGAAGACCACAGUCAACUCCUCCUGACAAACGGGAAGUCCUCCAGAGGCCUGAGCAUCAAGCACUCCUUCCUGAAUGAUCCCUUCCACCUCCUCUGACAUAUGCCAAGACCAGCAGCACCAUCAGCUCCCCAAAGGUCCAGAGAUUUGUGCGGCCACUACUACCUGGGAAGUUGGCCAAAGAAAGUUGAAGGGAGGGACAAAGGCCAGGACCAACGGCGCCAGCUUCAAGUAAAACUACACUGUGCACUGUGGAAAACAAGAACAGUAAGGCUCUUUGAAGAACCAUGUUCAAAAUCACUUAGCGGAGAGUUCUAUCCGUUUCAGCAACCCUUCAAGUUGGAGUCCAGCGACCCCUCUGGAAUGGGACUAUCGCAGAAGUCAGACACUUUUAGUACAACCCACCGAUUAAACAUACCGGAGUGAACAGGAGAGUGACCUAGGGGACGGAAAUAACAUACAAAAACAAAAAUAGCUGUAAAAACUCAGCAGGUCUGGCAGCAUCUCCAGAGAGGAAUACAGUUAAUGUUUUGAGUCCGUAUGACUGUUCGGCAGAAAUAUGGAAAUAUAGAAAU